rnacentral:rRNA from 1 species
UACGUAGGUGACGAGCGUUAUCCGGAUUUACUGGGCGUAAAGCGCUUGUAGGUGGCUUUGUAAGUUGGGCGUGAAAACUCUGGGCUUAACCCAGAGACGCCGUCCAAUACUGCGAGGCUAGAGGAUGUCAGAGGAAGGUGGAAUUCCUGGUGUAGUGGUGAAAUGCGUAGAUAUCAGGAGGAACACCCGUGGCGAAGGCGGCCUUCUGGGGCAUUCCUGACACUGAGAAGCGAAAGCUAGGGGAGCAAACAGG